AUUUAACGCUUGCGGCAUGCCUUACACAUGCAAGUCGAACGGCAGCGCGGACUUCGGUCUGGCGGCGAGUGGCGAACGGGUGAGUAAUGUAUCGGAACGUGCCCUAGAGUGGGGGAUAACGUAGCGAAAGUUACGCUAAUACCGCAUACGAUCUACGGAUGAAAGUGGGGGACCGCAAGGCCUCACGCUCAUGGAGCGGCCGAUAUCUGAUUAGCUAGUUGGUAGGGUAAAAGCCUACCAAGGCGACGAUCAGUAGCUGGUCUGAGAGGACGACCAGCCACACUGGGACUGAGACACGGCCCAGACUCCUACGGGAGGCAGCAGUGGGGAAUUUUGGACAAUGGGGGAAACCCUGAUCCAGCAAUGCCGCGUGUGUGAAGAAGGCCUUCGGGUUGUAAAGCACUUUUGUCAGGAACGAAACGGUGGGGGCUAAUAUCCUCUGCUAAUGACGGUACCUGAAGAAUAAGCACCGGCUAACUACGUGCCAGCAGCCGCGGUAAUACGUAGGGUGCGAGCGUUAAUCGGAAUUACUGGGCGUAAAGCGUGCGCAGGCGGUUGUGCAAGACAGAUGUGAAAUCCCCGGGCUUAACCUGGGAAUUGCAUUUGUGACUGCACGGCUAGAGUGUGUCAGAGGGGGGUAGAAUUCCACGUGUAGCAGUGAAAUGCGUAGAUAUGUGGAGGAAUACCGAUGGCGAAGGCAGCCCCCUGGGAUAACAC
rnacentral:rRNA from 1 species